GAGUGGCGAACUGGUGAGUAACACGUGGGAAACCUGCCCAGAAGCGGGGGAUAACACCUGGAAACAGAUGCUAAUACCGCAUAACAACUUGGACCGCAUGGUCCGAGCUUGAAAGAUGGCUUCGGCUAUCACUUUUGGAUGGUCCCGCGGCGUAUUAGCUAGAUGGUGGGGUAACGGCUCACCAUGGCAAUGAUACGUAGCCGACCUGAGAGGGUAAUCGGCCACAUUGGGACUGAGACACGGCCCAAACUCCUACGGGAGGCAGCAGUAGGGAAUCUUCCACAAUGGACGAAAGUCUGAUGGAGCAACGCCGCGUGAGUGAAGAAGGGUUUCGGCUCGUAAAACUCUGUUGUUAAAGAAGAACAUAUCUGAGAGUAACUGUUCAGGUAUUGACGGUAUUUAACCAGAAAGCCACGGCUAACUACGUGCCAGCAGCCGCGGUAAUACGUAGGUGGCAAGCGUUGUCCGGAUUUAUUGGGCGUAAAGCGAGCGCAGGCGGUUUUUUAAGUCUGAUGUGAAAGCCUUCGGCUCAACCGAAGAAGUGCAUCGGAAACUGGGAAACUUGAGUGCAGAAGAGGACAGUGGAACUCCAUGUGUAGCGGUGAAAUGCGUAGAUAUAUGGAAGAACACCAGUGGCGAAGGCGGCUGUCUGGUCUGUAACUGACGCUGAGGCUCGAAAGUAUGGGUAGCAAACAGGAUUAGAUACCCUGGUAGUCCAUACCGUAAACGAUGAAUGCUAAGUGUUGGAGGGUUUCCGCCCUUCAGUGCUGCAGCUAACGCAUUAAGCAUUCCGCCUGGGGAGUACGGCCGCAAGGCUGAAACUCAAAGGAAUUGACGGGGGCCCGCACAAGCGGUGGAGCAUGUGGUUUAAUUCGAAGCUACGCGAAGAACCUUACCAGGUCUUGACAUACUAUGCAAAUCUAAGAGAUUAGACGUUCCCUUCGGGGACAUGGAUACAGGUGGUGCAUGGUUGUCGUCAGCUCGUGUCGUGAGAUGUUGGGUUAAGUCCCGCAACGAGCGCAACCCUUAUUAUCAGUUGCCAGCAUUAAGUUGGGCACUCUGGUGAGACUGCCGGUGACAAACCGGAGGAAGGUGGGGAUGACGUCAAAUCAUCAUGCCCCUUAUGACCUGGGCUACACACGUGCUACAAUGGAUGGUACAACGAGUUGCGAACUCGCGAGAGUAAGCUAAUCUCUUAAAGCCAUUCUCAGUUCGGAUUGUAGGCUGCAACUCGCCUACAUGAAGUCGGAAUCGCUAGUAAUCGCGGAUCAGCAUGCCGCGGUGAAUACGUUCCCGGGCCUUGUACACACCGCCCGUCACACCAUGAGAGUUUGUAA
rnacentral:rRNA from 1 species